rnacentral:rRNA from 1 species
AACGAACGCUGGCGGCAUGCCUAACACAUGCAAGUCGAACGAGAUCUUCGGGUCAAGUGGCGCACGAGUGCGUAACGCGUGGAAAUCUGCCCUAUGGUUCGGAAUAACAGCUGGAAACGACUGAUAAUACCGGAUGAUGACGAAGGUCCAAAGAAUUAUCGCCUGAGGAUGAGCCCGCGUAGGAUUAGCAAGUUGGUGUGGUGAAGGCGAACCAAGGCGACGAUCCUUAGCUGGUCGGAGAGGAUGAUCAGGCACACUGGGACUGAGACACGGCCCAGACUCCUACGGGAGGCAGCAGUGGGGAAUAUUGGACAAUGGGCGAAAGCCUGAUCCAGCAAUGCCGCGUGAGUGAUGAAGGCCUUAGGGUUGUAAAGCUCUUUUACCCGGGAUGAUAAUGACAGUACCGGGAGAAUAAGCUCCGGCUAACUCCGUGCCAGCCGCCGCCGUAA